rnacentral:rRNA from 1 species
UACGUAGGGCGCAAGCGUUGUCCGGAAUUAUUGGGCGUAAAGAGCUCGUAGGUGGCUUGUCACGUCGGGUGUGAAAGCUUGGGGCUUAACUCCAGGUCUGCAUUCGAUACGGGCUGGCUAGAGGUAGGUAGGGGAGAACGGAAUUCCUGGUGUAGCGGUGAAAUGCGCAGAUAUCAGGAGGAACACCGGUGGCGAAGGCGGUGGUCUGGGCCGGCACUGACGCUGAGGGGCGAAAGCGUGGGUAGCAAACAGG